rnacentral:pre_miRNA from 1 species
UGUCCCAUCCACCCUACUAUAUGCAUAUACACAUGAGUGGGCAAAAUGGGACA